AAGGUUAGAUGUAUAGAUCAAUGGACCAGGAGAAAAAGUCGGGAAACAGAUUCACAAAUAUAUGGUCAAUUGACUUGUGACAAAGGUGGCAAGGUGAUUCAAUGAGAAAAGGAAAGUCUCUUCAACAAUGCUGCUGGAAAAACUGAACAUCCGUAAGGAAAACAAUGGGUAUCAACUCUUUCCUCAGACUACACACAGAAUUAACUGUACCUCAAUCAUAAUCCUAACUUUUAGCAAAAAGCCUUUGCGGUGCUGAGGUAGAAAAAGGUCUCUUGGAUAGAAAAACAAGAAGCAUGAACCAUGAAGAAAAAAACUGAUGAAUUCGAUUUCACCAAAAAGAAUGACUCUGUUCUUCUAAAGAUGCCAUUAAAAAAAAAAAAAAAAAAAAGGCAAGCCACAGAUUGGGAACAACAUUCAAAACACAUGUCACACACCUCAACAAUAAGACAACCAAUUCAACACAAAAAUGGACAAAUGAUUCUACCAUAUACUUCACAAAAAAUGACAAAAUGUCAACAGGCACAUGAAAAGACGCAGACGUUACCUGUCAUCAGGGAAAUGGAAAUUAAAAGCACAGAGGAUACCACACCGCUACCCAUCUAUCGGGACACGUAAGAUAAAAGACAAGUGCUGGUGAGGAUGUGGAGAAGCUGGAACUCACAUGCACUGCUGGCGAGAAUGGUAAAGUCCAAGCACUUUGGGAAAGACUUGAGCGGUUUCUUAAAAAGUUAAACAUACACCUACUAUGUACUAAAUACCCAGCAAUUCUAGUAGGUAUUUACCAAGGUAAAAGAAAACAUGUCCGCACAAAGACUUGUAUACAAAUGUUCAUGGCAGAUUUACGUGCAAUAGUUCAGAACUAGAAACUGCUCAAAUGCCCACUAACACGUACACGGACCAACAAAUUGUGGGAAAAGAACAAACUGUGGUUAUACUCAAUGUGGAAAAUUUCAAAAUCAUUAUACUGAGCCAAAGAUGCCAUAAAAAGGGGGACAUACUUUCAAUUUACAGUGAAUUAUUAUUCAAUUCAAUUUACAUGGGAUUAUUCAAUUUAUAUAGAAUUCUUUAAAAAACGCAGAAUAAUCUUAAAGACAGAAAACAGAUCCAUGUCUGCCUGGGGAGGGGUGUAGAGAAAGGAUGGAUCCCCGGGAAACCUUCAGGGGGAUGGAACCAUUCAGGGGAUGGAAAUGUUUGCUGCCCUGACUGGUGACCGUUUCAACAGGGGUGGAGGCGGGGGUGUGAACACCCAACAAGCCUUACACUUUAAAUGGCGCAGUUCCUUGUACCGCAACGACACCUCAACUAAGUUAUAAAAAGUACAUCUAAUGCACUGGAAUAGUCUUUAAAGGACAGGGUGAACCUUUCUCCGAAUGACUGGGGUGACCAUAUAGUUUUAUCAUCCAAGCCAGGAAAUUUGUGCAAGUCAAAGUGAGUGCUAAAAAUAAUUAACGGGUGUUAUCUCAUCUACAACAGGGUGUGUGAGCUGGCAGUGCCCUGCACAAAACAGUGCUUACGGCUUCGGGAACAACAAAUACCCAAUCUAUCCCUCGGUGUGAUUAGAUACUUGUUACAUAAAGCAAACCGCAACGUUCACUCCUCAGAAGACAGCCAGAGCUGGCAACGGCCAGCUGCAAAGCAGUCACGGAAAUGGUGCUGGUCUUCAGUGUCGCGCAGGACAGAUGCCAAGGCUCCCGCCUCAAGGGCACGGUUAUCCUCACACGGUCAUUUCAGGGCAAUCAUUAGGAUGACACUAGGAGCAAUGCCUGCUGGAUCAAUCCCCAUCCCAGCAAGCCGUGCGGUGUGGAAACGUGACCAGGCAGAGGUGCACCACGAGACUUCGGGGAAGCCAGGCACGUGACACGCUCACCAGAGAUUCUGGGGAAUCAGGACACAGUACAGCCCCAACCACGAUCCAUCUGAAAUGAGGUAGACAGAAGCCGAGGAAGCUGUAAACCAGAACAAAGCCCGAAUCAAAUAGAUCAGGCAACAAAAAGGACACAAGACAGACCGAAGGCUGCCCUCUCAAGAACUGCACCCUCUCUCAGGCAGGGGGCUCAGCACAGGGGCUGCUCUGCAAGGGAGGCCACACUCAUUUUCCCAAACGUCCCUCCUGCGGCCUACAGUGCUUGUUCUAGCCAUACCGUGUGCAAGAACACCUGAACACAUUCUGAGCCCCCAGUGCUACAGAGUGAGGAAAUGGAGUUUAAAUGAUCAACUUUGCCACAUCUACAGAUGAAAUGUCUCCACCUACACAAGUGAUCGUUAUAGACCCAUGAUGUGGAAGGGCUUACGAUGAAAAUGUAAAGUUACACACACGCUGCUCUGCGUAUAACAUGGGAAAAGCAGCAUACGCCCCCGGCAAAAGCCUGAAGGGACUCGGAGAAAGAGAAGAGCUGCUGAACUGUGACCUUUCCUCCCCUCACUUUAAAUCUCCUCUAGAACCAUUAUUAUGAUGUAAGCACUCUGCACAAUAAGGGGGUAAGCUGCCUGCACGGGUUCCGGUCCCGGGACGCUCCUGGGGCCCGCCCCCCAGCCCACUCACUCGCCCCUUCUCAGUGGCCAGUCCAGCCCCCGGGCCCACAGAGAUCUGCCCCACGCUCGCACUGUGUUCUGCCCCUUCUGCUGUUACACCUGUCACGGGACACUAUAAUCACUUCUUUUCACGUCUAACAGGCUGUGAGAAGUCCCUGAGUGCAGGGGACAUGUUUAUCCAUGUCCGUCUGCCCUCAGGCACUGGGCAGAGAGAGUACCUCCACAAGGAAAAACAAGUCUGUCCAAAACCUGCGUCUUUUCCAAUUGGUUUCUGUUUGUUUUCAGAAAUCAGAACGCCAAGGUACAGCCGGAGUGUUGUCAAAUUGUUGCUGGGCUCUCCAGGGGUAGAUAAGAAGUUUUCACACUGUCAAACUUAAGGGAAACACACACACACACACACACACACACACACACACACACACACACACACAGAAAAAGGAGCCGGGCCCAACCCAUAGCUGCUCAUCAGAAUCCAAAGACGCACAGCUCCCAGCAAGCUCUCAGCCCAGUACGAAGGGCAUUUGUAAGAGGGUAACAGCAACCCACAGCAUAGUCCACUGCGACGAACGAACCAUUCAAUAUCCUCUCUGAAGAGAAAGAAGCAACAAAGCCUCCUUCCUGGCUCACGCUCGCCGGCACAGAGCCCAUGUGCAUCCUGCACAGGGAACAGCAAGCUUCAAAGAGAACCCCUGGCCUCAAGUCAAGACCUAAGAAAGUGUGACCAAGUGCACAGAUUACUAAGGAGCCUGUGCACAUCUGGCAUCACAAGAGUGUGAGUCCCAAAUGUGGCUGCACUGAAAAAUCAUGGAAAGCACCGAAAAGUCACCCACUUACAAAUCGGCAUCAGAAUCUCUGGGGAUGGUGCCGAUAUUUUUUUCCCAAAGGGUGCUCAGACACAGCCAAGUUUGGGAACCACUGCCCUGAGUAAGCAGAAGGUGGCAACAUGUUACCUUCUGACCACGGCAUGAACACGAAGACCUCCCAGAAGAGACAGUUGUCACCCUACCUUUGAGGAAUGGACAGGUCUGUAGAGGGAACUUCAGCAAAGGGCCCCCAUACUGAGGAGCCCCACCAAGACCAGGGUGACCUGUGCACAGGGUACUGGUUCCCUACAAAAAGCAGGUCGGCUGGAGCAGGUCCGUGGUGAGGCGAGAGGCUGGGACAGCUGGGGAGCGCCACGUCCCAUGGACUGGAGGAGGUAAGAACUGAGGUGGCCCUUGAUGAUUUACACUGCUUUUAGAAAUGGGCAGAAUGUGACUCUUUUUAAUGGUUUUAUAUUUCAGGCAUAUUCCAGUCAAACUUGUCUUUCCUCUUCAAGGUCCAACUCAAGUGCGGUUGCUGCCAGGACCCCAGGGAUAAGAGUAAAACAGCCCGACUGCUUUUAGGGCCAGUGAAGUCUAGAAUAAUCCACAGUGAUUUUAAUUAGAAGUUAUUAUUCAGCAAACAGAGAAAGUAUGAAACAUUUCACUUAAGAAAUAGGCUGGAACCUAAAGCUGGCAAAUUCCCUUCUCCUAUUCACGCCACUUUUUUGGCCUUGUGAGGGGGCGGCCCCACCUGAAGGUGAGAAGGCAGAAGACACCGUGAGCUCUACUCCCCAUCUUCUGGAAGCUCCCACUGCCGCCACGCCACCAAGGAAGAAUCUGAAGGCAAUCUCUACGUCUCCAGCCUCACCCCAGCCUCACACUGUUCUUAAAGAACAGGACGACAAGCAGAUCCCCUCUAGUUACAUGAGCCUCGUUUGUGACACCUCCUCCAUCCAGCCUGUCUAAAAUCUCUCCCCUCCCCACACCCCCUCCCCCAUCUCCCUUGGCAGUCUCUUGUCCUAUGGGCCUUCAUUUCUUAUAACGUUAUAGCUCUCUGGCCAUCCGGGGGAGAAAUAAAAAUGGAGCCUUUUGUACUGUGGAGCAAAUGUACUCAUGCUUCUCAGCUACAAAAGGUUUCCAACUGCAGCAGCUUUCACGGACUGAUUGUAGCAGGCAGGCAAUUUAGUAGACAUUGUGCAAUUGGGGAAUUACUCCAGGAAUAGCUGGAAAACCAAAUGAGAUGUCCCAGGAAACGUAGCAGCUUCUGGACAAAUGCAUUCGUCCUGCACUUGCUCCUGGCGCACGUGUGCCAAGCACUGGCCAAGUCCACGGCCGGGCCCUGCCUUUCGGGAGGGCUGACUUCAGACAGACCCACACAGGGACUCGGGCAGUUUGCUGUAUGGUAAGCACCAGGUUCGGGGUGUGGACGAGAAAUACUGCAGGGGUGACUGAGGGGGAAGAUCAUCAAGUGUGAAUUUUAAGCCAAGAAAAUACUUCUAUUGCUCACAGCUCCAGAACUGCCAGACUCUCUACGGAAGCAUGACUGGCGGAAAGCGGGCCGUGAACUCGCCCCGUGUAUCUCCAUGUUCCAUACACCGUCACGGAUCACUCAUGGGAUGAGCUUGCCUAUCUACGCAUGUUUCUGGGUAACCUCAGUAUUAAUCUUUCUCUUGUCCCCUCUCAGUACAUCCUCAGGUGAAAAGGCAGUUUUUAAAGCAGUAACGAAAUCAAAAAUAAAUGUGAGAGAAUCGGUGCCUCGUCCCUGAAGGCUGGGAAUCGUCCAUGACUACCUGACAGAGAUGUGGUUCCAGAGGUUUCUCCAACACAGACUGCCUCCACAUCUGCAAGUCCAGUGUGGGCACUCUGAACACAUUUCCCAUAGAGACAACAUACAAAUCAGGGUUCACUGUCGGAGCAGGCUGACAGAGCUCCGUAUUAACUCACAUGGUACCAAAAGCGUAGUGCCAUCCUAUUUUUUCCAUAUUUUUACUGAGAUAUAAUUCCCACACAGUUCACCCUUUUAAAGUGUACAACUUAGUGGCUUUUAGCAUACUCCCAAAGUUGGGCAACUAUCACCUGUAUCUAAUUUUAGAACAUUUUGUCACCCCCUGAAAAAAGCCUGUACCUCCAGCAACCAUUCCUCCCUCCUCCACAGGCCCCCGCCCCCACCACUCAGCUACUUUCUGUCUCUACAGAUUUGCCUACCGUGGCAUUUCAUAUAAAUGGAAUCAUCAAAUA